CAAGAAGUGAUAAGAGUGGGGCCCUGAUGUAUUAGUGUCAUUAUCUAAAUAAUAAUAAAAAAAGACACCAAAGAGCUCUUUCUUUCUCUCUCUCCUCUCUCCAUGUGCAUGCAUUAAGAAAAGGCCGUGUGAGGACACAGUGAGAAGGUGGCCAUCUGCAAAGCAGGAAAAGAGCCUUUACCAGAAAUCAACUCUGCUGCACCUUGAUCUGGGCCUUCCAACCUCCAAAACUGUGAAAAAAUACAUUGGCAGUCCAAGCAAACCAAGAGAAAUGGGAUAGCAUCAUAUUGGAAGAGAAUCAGUGGAGGCUUUAUGAAGUAGGUAACAUCUAAACUGGACUUCUAUGGACUGUCUACUGGAAAUGGGGAUAGAGGUAUUUCAGAAAAAAAAAGAGGUAUUUCAGGAGACAAUUGGUAAGUAUAAAGUGUAUGGUUCAAGAAUAGAUAUGCGAGAGUAAGUUUAUAUCUGUGGUAUAUGUGUGUCUAGGUGCAUGUGUGUGCAACUGUAUGGUAAUGUACUUGUGUUUAUGUACAUGUGUAUGCAUAGAUGUCUGUGUAUGUGCAAGUGUGUGUUUGUAUAAUGCAUAUGCAAUUGUAUGUGUAUAGAAGAGAAAUGGAAAAUGAAGUUGGAAACAUGGAGUCAAACCUGGGAAUACCCCAUAUGGACAUGAUGCACAGAGCAAGAGGUCUACUUUGCAGCAUUUGCGGAGAUGGGGCAAAUGCUAGGAAGUGAAGGGCACAAGCAUAUCAGCCUUACAGAAAACAAGGGCAAGAUCGGCUUGAUGGUUCACCGGAGGGAGGGCAGGAAAUCCCCCCCUGGAUGUUCCAGUAUAUCUUCAAGAUUCCUUGGUUCCCCAAGAGAACACUCAUUUGAAGACAAAUACCAGGGGAGAGGUGACACCCUCUCUGCAGUGGCCCAGGGAAGAGGUAAUGCUCAUCAGUCAUCAACCAGAAAGCUCUCAGAGGACAGGCCCCCAUAGACAUGGAU
rnacentral:lncRNA from 12 species